rnacentral:rRNA from 1 species
GCUGCAUGGCUGUCGUCAGCUCGUGUCGUGAGAUGUCGGUUAAGUCCGCUAACGAGCGCAACCUCGCUGUGUGUUACAAGUGUCACACGGAACUGCCGGUCAUAAACCGGAGGAAGGUGGGGAUGACGUCAAGUCAGCAUGGCCUUUAUAUCCUGGGCUACACACACGCUACAAUGGGAAGGGACAAUAGGUUGCGAAGCCGCGAGGCGGAGCCAAUCCAGCAAAACUUCCCUCAGUUCAGAUUGCAGGCUGCAACUCGCCUGCAUGAAGUUGGAGUUGCUAGUAAACGCAGGUCAGCCAUACUGCGUUGAAUACGUUCCCGGGGCUU